rnacentral:rRNA from 1 species
UUCCAGUCCAAUAGCGUAUAUUAAAGUUGUUGCAGUUAAAAAGCUCGUAGUUGAAUUUCGGGGUUAGUAGGCUGGUCAUGCCUCCGGUAUGUACUGGUCUCACUGAUUCCUCCUUCCUGAUGAACCGUAAUGCCAUUAAUUUGGUGUUGCGGGGAAUCUGGACUGUUACUUUGAAAAAAUUAGAGUGUUUAAAGCAGGCUAACGCUUGAAUACAUUAGCAUGGAAUAAUGAAAUAGGACGUUUGAUCCUAUUUUGUUGGUCUCUAGGAUUGACGUAAUGAUUAAUAGGGAUAGUUGGGGGCAUUAGUAUUCAAUUGUCAGAGGUGAAAUUCUUGGAUUUAUUGAAGACUAACUACUGCGAAAGCAUUUGCCAAGGAUGUUUUCAUUAAUCAAGAACGAAAGUUAGGGGAUCGAAGACGAUCAGAUACCGUCGUAGUCUUAACCAUAAACUAUGCCGACUAGGGAUCGG